AAUUUGUGACCAUGGGGGAGACCCUGAUCCAGCCACCCCGCGUGUAUGAUGAAGGNCUNNGGGUUNUNAAGCACUUUUGGCAGNNNNNAAAAGGUAUCUACUAAGACGAGAUACUUCUGACGGUAUCUGCGUGUUAAGCACCGGCUACCUACGGGCGAGCAGCCGCGGUAAUACGUAGGGUGCAAGCGUUAAUCGGACUUACGGGGCGGAAAGCGUGUGUAGGCGGUUCGGAAAGCAAGAUGUGAAAUCCCAGGGCUCAACCUUGGAACUGCAUGUUGAACUGCCGAGCUAGAGUAUGUCAGAGGGGGGUAGAAUUCCACGUGUAGCAGUGAAAUGCGUAGAUAUGUGGAGGAAUACCGAUGGCGAAGGCAGCCCCCUGGGAUAAUACUGACGCUCAGACACGAAAGCGUGGGGAGCAAACA
rnacentral:rRNA from 1 species